rnacentral:rRNA from 1 species
UACGUAGGGAGCAAGCGUUAUCCGGAAUUAUUGGGUGUAAAGGGUGCGUAGACGGGAGAGCAAGUUAGUUGUGAAACCCCUCGGCUUAACUGAGGAAGUGCAACUAAAACUAUUCUUCUUGAGUGCAGGAGGGGAAAGUGGAAUUUCUAGUGUAGCGGUGAAAUGCGUAGAUAUUAGGAAGAACACCAGUGGCGAAGGCGACUUUCUGGACUGUAACUGACGUUGAGGCUCGAAAGCGUGGGGAGCAAAC